rnacentral:rRNA from 1 species
UGACGGUAUCAUAUGAAUAAGCACCGGCUAACUCCGUGCCAGCAGCCGCGGUAAUACGGGGGGUGCAAGCGUUACUCGGAAUCACUGGGCGUAAAGAGCAUGUAGGCGGGUGAAUAAGUUGGAAGUGAAAUCCUAUAGCUUAACUAUAGAACUGCUUCCAAAACUGUUCACCUAGAGUAUGGGAGAGGUAGAUGGAAUUUCUGGUGUAGGGGUAAAAUCCGUAGAGAUCAGAAGGAAUACCGAUUGCGAAGGCGAUCUACUGGAACAUUACUGACGCUCAGAUGCGAAAGCGUGGGGAGCAAACAGGAUUAGAUACCCUGGCAGUCCACGCCCUAAACGAUGUACACUAGUUGUUGCUAUACUAGAUAUGGCAGUAAUGCAGUUAACACUUUAAGUGUACCGCCUGGGGAGUACGGUCGCAAGAUUAAAACUCAAAGGAAUAGACGGGGACCCGCACAAGCGGUGGAGCAUGUGGUUUAAUUCGACGAUACGCGAAAAACCUUACCUGGCCUUGACAUAGUAGGAAUCUUUAAGAGAUUAGAGAGUGCUAGCUUGCUAGAACCUACAUACAGGUGCUGCACGGCUGUCGUCAGC